ensembl:lncRNA
AAGCACUCGGCCAUUUUCUGCGUCAACUGCAUUCAUCACAAACCCUCCAUCUUGAGCCGAAAUGAAAGAUUAGGUACAGAUGAGUUUGUAAACAGCAAGUGUGCCGAGAAGUUCUUUCUGCUCAAAACCAAACACCUCUUCCUCCAACAUUCUGAAAUAGAUGUUUUUACCUCAAAGUGACUCAUAUUCAUAUGAAGAGUUGGCUGAAAUUUAAGAAGUCAGUCUUCAGUCAUUUUCUACUAAGAAAAAAAUACAGUCAUGGAGAAGAUACGAUUUUUACACAGAUAGAUCAUUCAUAACAUUUUGCAUGUAUGUAUCUUACAAGCAAGUUGGGCACACAGAUUUCUUGAGGACAGCAAACAUGAACAGGGCCGGUGCAACCCACUCUUUGAAUAUCACUGGGUGAGUUUCCUGGAAGAAACAAGCCCUUCUGAGACACUGAAGGCAGCACUGCACGACCAAGAAGGCAGAAAAGAAGAAACAGGAGAAGGGCGCUUUCUCCUUUCUAAAGUCUGGGAACUUUUAUUUCAGGUUUUAAGGUCCUUCAAAUGACUUCACAUGGAUGUGAGUUCUUUCAAGGGUUCCAUUUUGCAUAUUAGUAUCUGCUGCUACUGCUAAGUCGCUUCAGUUGUGUCCGACUCUGUGUGACCCCAUAGACGGCAGCCCACCAGGCUCCCCUGUCCCUGGGAUUCUCCAGGCAAGAACACUGGAGUGGUUGCCAUUUCCUUCUCCAAUGCGUGAAAGUGAAAAGUGAAAGUGAAAAGUGAAAGUGAAGUCACUCGGUCGUGUCUGACCCUUAGCGACCCCAUGGACUGCAG